rnacentral:rRNA from 1 species
UACGUAGGUGGCAAGCGUUGUCCGGAUUUACUGGGCGUAAAGAGCGCGCAGGCGGUCGUUCAAGUCGCGUGUGAAAGCCCCCGGCUCAACUGGGGAGGGUCGUGCGAUACGGGCGAACUGGAGGCCAGUAGGGGGAUGCGGAAUUCCGGGUGUAGUGGUGGAAUGCGUAGAGAUCCGGAGGAACACCAGCGGCGAAGGCGGCAUCCUGGACUGGUCCUGACACUCAGGAGCGAAAGCGUGGGGAGCGAUCCGG